rnacentral:rRNA from 1 species
GAGGAAUAUUGGACAAUGGAUGGAAAUCUGAUCCAGCCAUGCCGCGUGAAGGAAGAAUGUCCUAUGGAUUGUAAACUUCUUUUGUAUGGGAGCAAUAAGGUAUUCGUGAAUACUGAUGAGAGUACCAUACGAAUAAGCAUCGGCUAACUCCGUGCCAGCAGCCGCGGUAAUACGGAGGAUGCGAGCGUUAUCCGGAUUUAUUGGGUUUAAAGGGUGCGUAGGCUGUUAUAUAAGUCAGUGGUGAAAUAUUCGGGCUCAACCGGGAUACUGCCAUUGAUACUGUAUAGCUGGAAUAUGGUUGCUGUGGGUGGAAUGUGUGGUGUAGCGGUGAAAUGCAUAGAUAUCACACAGAAUAUCGAUUGCGAAGGCAACUCACAAAGCCAUUAUUGACGCUGAUGCACGAAAGUGUGGGGAUCAAAC